GAUGAAGAACGUAGCGAAAUGCGAUACGUAAUGUGAAUUGCAGAAUUCAGUGAAUCAUCGAAUCUUUGAACGCAUAUUGCGCUCUCUGGUAUUCCGGAGAGCAUUCUUGUUUGAGUAUCAGUAAACACCUCAACUUCCAUAUCUUUUUUGAAAUGGGAGUUGGACUUGAGUGAUCCCAACGCUUUUCCUCACCGAAAAGUGGCGGGUUACUUGAAAUGCAGGUGCAGCUGGACUUUUCUCUGAGCUAUAAGCAUAUCUAUUUAGUCUGCCUAAAAAACAGAUUAUUACCUUUGCUGCAGCUAACAUAAAGGAGAUUAGUUCUUGUGCUGACUGAUGCAGGAUUCACAAAGACAGGCUUCGGCCGACUUUGUAAACUCGAUCUCAAAUCAAGUAAGACUACCCGCUGAACUUAAGCAUAUCAAUAAGCGGAGGA
rnacentral:misc_RNA from 1 species